AUGAACCGUCGGGAGGGUGGGAUGGGCAUUCCUGGGGAAAAAUCCCUGGGAUUCAGGAAAACAGCCCUGGGAUCCAGGAAAAUAUCCCUGAGAUUCAGGAAAAUAUCCUUGGGAUCCAUGAAAACUUCCCUGGAAUCAAGGAAAAUAUUCCUGGGAUCCAGGGAAACAUCCCUGAGAUCCAGGAAAAUAUGCCUGGGAUACAGGAAAAUAUGCCUGGGAUACAGGAAAAUAUCCCUGAGAUCAAGGAAAACAUCUCUGGGAUUCAGGAAAAUAUCCCUGGGAUUCAGGAAAACUUCCCUGGAAUCAAGGAAAAUAUUCCUGGGAUGCAGGGAAACAUUCAUAGGAUUCAGGAAAACAUCCCCGAGAUUCAAAACAUCCCUGAGAUCCAGGAAAAUAUCCCUGGGAUUCAGGAAAAUAUUCCUGGGAUCCAGGGAAACUUCUCUGGGAUUCAGGAAAACAUCUCUGGGACUCAGGAAAAUAUUCUUUGGGUCCAGGAAAAUAUCCCACGUGCCAAGGCCGGGAUGGGGACAGAUCCAUGGAAGUUCCCGGGCCUCAUUCCUGACUCAUUCCCGGGCCUGCCAAGGCCGGGUUUUAAUUAAACUGCGGAUUUUAAUUAACUCCUGGUCACCAAAGCGGAAUCAAACCCUCGGGGUGGUGGGGAGGACGUGCUCAGGGUCCCCCUUUCACCCACAUUCCCCAUCCCCGUUUCCUCCCGGAUACACCGGGACUUCUCCUCCUCCUCCUUCCCCCAAAAACCACCGGAGGAACCCCGGAGAGGCCCCCGGAUGCUCCGGGAGGGAUCCGCUGUGGAAAACCCCCCCAGAGGCCGAGGGGAAACGAAAUUGUGGGGUCCGGUCGCCUCGGAGUGACCCCAACCCCAGAACCUCCCAUUGGGAAUCCCCGGUAACAUCCUGGGGGUGCGGGGGUGCCCAUUCCACACGGGUGAAGUUUUUCACAAUUAUUAUUUUUUUUUUUCCCCAAAACAACCGUUUUGGGAAGAAUAUUUCUUCCGUGUCUUGCUUUUCCAGCCGGGACCGAUCCCUUCCCCACCCCCCAAAGCUCACCCCGACUUCCAGGGGCCUUUUCCCUGCUAAAAAAUCCCAACCAAACAAUCAAAGAAUCCCAGUAAACACGGCAGGGAAGGCCGGAUUUCAGCGCGUUCCGGCCCUGCUGCGAUGCCGGGAUGAGGUUGGAGCCGUUCCCCCCGGGCGGUUCCGGAUCCCAGGCGGGAUUUGGAACCCGGUUCCCCCCCCCGCCCCAGAUGGGAACAGCUGGCGGCUGAUCCGGCGGGAAGAGCGGGAGGAGGAGGAGGAGGAGGAGGAGGUCAGGGAUUAA
rnacentral:lncRNA from 1 species